AACGUAGGGGGCGAGCGUUAUCCGGAAUCACUGGGCGUAAAGGGCGUCUAGGCGGUCCAGUAAGUCCUGCGUGAAAGCUCCCGGCUCAACUGGGAGAGCGCGUGGGAGACUGUUGGGCUAGAGACUCGGAGAGGGGUGUGGAAUUCCUGGUGUAGCGGUGGAAUGCGCAGAUAUCAGGAGGAACACCUAUGGCGAAGGCAGCUCGCUGGGACGGUACUGACGCUGAGGCGCGAAAGCGUGGGGAGCGAACAGG
rnacentral:rRNA from 1 species